rnacentral:rRNA from 1 species
GACGAACGCUGGCGGCGUGCUUAACACAUGCAAGUCGAACGCUGAAGCUCAGCUUUUGUUGGGUGGAUGAGUGGCGAGCGGGUGAGUAACACGUGAGUAACCUGCCCCCUUCUUUGGGAUAACGCCCGGAAACGGGUGCUAAUACUGGAUAUUCACUGGUCUUCGCAUGGGGGUUGGUGGAAAGUGUUUUUCUGGUGGGGGAUGGGCUCGCGGCCUAUCAGCUUGUUGGUGUGGUGAUGGCCUACCAAGGCUUUGACGGGUAGCCGGCCCGAGAGGGUGACCGGUAAGAUUGGGACUGAGAUAAGGACCAGACUCGUACGGGAGGGAGCAGUGGGGAAUAUUGCACAAUGGGCGCAAGCAUGAUGCAGCGACGCCGCGUGAGGGAUGGAGGCCUUCGGGUUGUGAACCUCUUUCGCUCAUGGUCAAGCCGCAACAAUGGUUGUGGUGAGGGUAGUGGGUAAAGAAGCGCCGGCUAACUACGUG